UACGGAGGAUGCAAGCGUUAUCCGGAUUUAUUGGGCGUAAAGGGAGCGCAGGCGGUGACUUAAGUCUGAUGUGAAAGCCCACGGCUCAACCGUGGAAGGUCAUUGGAAACUGGGUCACUUGAAUAUAGAAGAGGAAAGUGGAAUUCCAUGUGUAGCGGUGAAAUGCGUAGAUAUAUGGAGGAACACCAGUGGCGAAGGCGACUUUCUGGCCAGUUACUGACGCUCAUGCGCGAGAGCUGGGUUUAGCGAACCCGGAUUAGA
rnacentral:rRNA from 1 species